rnacentral:rRNA from 1 species
CAUGUCCUUUUGAUAAUAAUUUAAGGUCUGAUCUGCUCAAUGAUGAUUAAAUAGCCGCAGUAUUUUGACUGUGCAAAGGUAGCAUAAUAAUUAGUUUCUUAAUUAGGAACUGGAAUGAAUGAUUGGACAAGAAAGUUUCUGUCUCUUUUUUAAUUUUAUUGAAUUUUAUUUUUAAGUGAAAAAGCUUAAAUGUUUGUAAAAGACGAGAAGACCCUAUAGAGUUUAAUAUUUGUAUUUAUUAAUCAGUUAGAAUAUUUAAUUAAAUUCAAUUAUUUAGUUGGGGUGAUUUAAAGAUUUGUAAAAUUCUUUAUAUAAAAAAUUGUUGAUUAAUAAUUUAAUAAUCUAUUAGUUGUAAGACUAAAAUAAAUUACCUUAGGGAUAACAGCGUAAUUUUUCUUUAAAGCUCUUAUUAAAAGGAAAGUUUGCGACCUCGAUGUUGGAUUAAAAUUAAUUUUUGGUGCAGUAACUAAAAAAUUAGGUCUGUUCGACCUUUAAAAUUUUACAUGAUCUGAGUUUAGACCGGCGUGAGCCAGGUCGGAUUCUAUCUUUAAAAAUUGAUUAUAUUUUAGUACGAAAGGACCAAGUAUAAAUUAAAUUAAUUG